rnacentral:lncRNA from 1 species
AAAGAAUUAGAAAAAAAAGCAUAUGAGAAAGUAGUAAUUUUAAAAAUAAAAAUAUUAGUUUCACAUUUAUUUUUUCAAAAAGCUUAUAGCUACAAAGUCUAAGGCUCUUUUUGUUGGAGCCUCAUCAGCUUCAUUGACCUUAAUUUCAUAGCCUUUGGGUAAGGAAGUGUAGAACUAAAAAAUAGCUAGAUUAUUGUACCCUUUAAAUAAUUCUUUUACACUUGCUAUGGCUCCACCAAUAACAAUUCUCCAUAAGGUUAAAGAAAAGUCAAAUGAAUUGUUAAUGUUAUAAAAUAUGGCUUGAAAGAAGUCAUUAAGAAAUUUGUUUGAUUCAUAUUUACAUCAUUACAUGUUUGUUCCAAAUUAGUUCCAAUUGCAGAUUAUAACAUAUUCAAGAUGCAUAUAUUUCUAAUGUGUGACCUGAAAGGGUUAAAUGUGAUUCUUUUACAAAUCAAGUAAAAAGGGUAAGUGAAACUUGACAAUUCCUAUAAUAGAUAUUUUCUUUUUAAUUUUUACUUUAUUACUUGAUUUUAAUAUCCUUGUAAUGAUUAACCAUACAAUGUAACCAAAUGUAUCAAAGUAUGUAUCCCUAAUCUUAUCUAAUGAUGUAACAGCCUGUUCCAGAUGGAUAAAAUGACAAUUCUAAACACUUAUAAGCCUUUGAAUUAUCUAAGGAGAAUUAAGAUAAAAAUCAAUUCAAAAAUACAAAAGUAAACCGACUAUUUUUUUAUCAUUACAAUCAUGAGAAAAAAAUGAAUAGAUUAGCAUUAAAAAUAAUUAAAUCUAUAAUAAGUAACAAAUAAAAUCCAUAGAGAAUUUGUCCACAAAACAUACAUCUAAACUUUUAUUCACACGAUGUAUGCCUCCAGGCUAUUUCAUGUCCUAUUUAAUUUCCCCAUCAUCAAAUUAUUAGAAUCAUGUGACACACUAAAAUGAAGAUAAAAUUUUA